GACGAACGCUGGCGGCGUGCUUAACACAUGCAAGUCGAACGGAAAGGCCCUUCGGGGUACUCGAGUGGCGAACGGGUGAGUAACACGUGGGUGAUCUGCCCUGCACUUUGGGAUAAGCCUGGGAAACUGGGUCUAAUACCGAAUAGGACCACGCGCUUCAUGGUGUGUGGUGGAAAGCUUUUGCGGUGUGGGAUGGGCCCGCGGCCUAUCAGCUUGUUGGUGGGGUAAUGGCCUACUAAGGCGACGACGGGUAGCCGGCCUGAGAGGGUGACCGGCCACACUGGGACUGAGAUACGGCCCAGACUCCUACGGGAGGCAGAAGUGGGGAAUAUUGCACAAUGGGCGCAAGCCUGAUGCAGCGACGCCGCGUGAGGGAUGACGGCCUUCGGGUUGUAAACCUCUUUCAAUAGGGACGAAGCGCAAGUGACGGUACCUAUAGAAGAAGCACCGGCCAACUACGUG
rnacentral:rRNA from 1 species